rnacentral:rRNA from 1 species
UAGGGAAUCUUCCGCAAUGGACGCAAGUCUGACGGAGCAACGCCGCGUGAGUGAAGAAGGAUUUCGGUUCGUAAAACUCUGUUGUUAGAGAAGAACAGCGCAUAGAGUAACUGUUAUGCGUGUGACGGUAUCUAACCAGAAAGCCACGGCUAACUACGUGCCAGCAGCCGCGGUAAUACGUAGGUGGCAAGCGUUGUCCGGAUUUAUUGGGCGUAAAGCGAGCGCAGGCGGUCAAUUAAGUCUGAUGUGAAAGCCCCCGGCUCAACCGGGGAGGGUCAUUGGAAACUGGUUGACUUGAGUGCAGAGGGGGGGAGUGGAAUUCCAUGUGUAGCGGUGAAAUGCGUAGAUAUAUGGAGGAACACCAGUGGCGAAGGCGACUCUCUGGUCUGUAACUGACUCUGAGGCUCGAAAGCGUGGGUAGCAAACAGG